CCUACGGGAGGCAGCAGUGGGGAAUAUUGCGCAAUGGGCGAAAGCCUGACGCAGCGACGCCGCGUGAGGGAUGAAGGUCUUCGGAUCGUAAACCUCUGUCAGCAGGGAAGAACGGUCACUGUGCUAAUCAGCAUUGAAUUGACGGUACCUGCAAAGGAAGCACCGGCUAACUCCGGGCCAGCAGCCGCGGUAAUACGGAGGGUGCGAGGGUUAAUCGGAAUUACUGGGCGUAAGGCGCUCGUAGGCGGUAUGUCAAGUCAAGGGUGAAAUCCGCGCGCUCAACGUGGGAACUGACUUUGAAACUGAGAAACUGGGGGGAGUGAGAGGAGAGUGGAAUUCCGGGUGUAGGAGUGAAAUCCGUAGAUAUCUGGAGGAACAUCAGUGGCGAAGGCGACUAUCUGGCACAUAACUGACGCUGAGGAGCGAAAGCGUGGGUAGCAAACAGGAUUAGAUACCCGGGUAUC
rnacentral:rRNA from 1 species